AGCUUGUUUUCUGAGUUAGUAAUCACAAACAUUCUUCUGUUUGGACAACACGGUGCAUUUUUCCAUGUUUGUUCACAAAUUCCAGAGGAAGAAGACUUCAGGGCAAACUGUCACAUAAAAGGGGGAAAAUAGCCUAAAAUAGUCCAGUUGUUAAAAGUUAAAAGCUCUCUUUUGAGGAGCCUUAAAUCAGAGCGCUGGUAAGUGGUUGGUGAAAUCCUUCAACUGUAAAUACUAAACCAGACCAGUGCCUCAUCCUCACAUAGAACUGAAUUCUCAGUCGCCCUUAAUCUGUUUUCUGUCCUCUCCCACUAACUCUGCGGGAGGAUAUUGAAUUGUCAAUAACAGAUUUAGAUUGGUGGAUUUUUUUUCUCUCAACUUUGUCUUUGUUUGUUAUUGUCUGGAGCCUGGCAAGGUGACAUGUUGCAGCUUGGAAUUUUGUUUUUCCACAUAUACUGUUGAUUUAUUAGUGGGGAUGCUGAGUAAGCAUCCACACUUUUGAUAUUCGCAUCUGCCAUUUUCUUUGUUCCAUACAUUUUUUGGACCCUAUCUCCUCUUUCACUCUUUGAGCUAUACUCAUCAUUCUAAUAUCAUUCUUUUCAGCUCUUUUAGGAAAUGAUGGCUAUGACUUUUUUCAUUUCUAACUUUUAUCAUUUUAAAAAUAUUUAACUUUUUCUGCAAAAUUUUUCCCAUUCAAAUGAAUGGGGUUUUUCUGAAAAUUUGCACUUUCUUCAACUCCUCAUAACUUUGGCACUCCUUGUGCUAUUUUCACUAUUAUUCUAUCAUACUCUUCAGCUUUUUGUGCUCUUUUCAGCUAUUUUUAAUACUUUUUUAUGUUAUUUAAAAUUUUUCAACUAUUUGGCUCUUUCUAAAACUAAAAUAACAUUAUUUCAGGUGAGCCAGCUUUUCAAGUCCUCUAAAACGCUUUCAAAUUCUAACACUUAUAACUUCAGUUUACUUCCACAUACAGACUUCAUUCUUGCUUUAAAACGUAGACAAACUCUUUGGCUAUUUAGGAAUGAUUCACAUUAUUGAUAUCUUCUAUAGAUUUCUAAUAAUCACUGAUCAAACAUCAUGAAGACUUUGCCUCUCUCAAACUUUUACAAUGGGAGUAAAUCGAGAGGCUUAGAGUGAUAACACCACUGCUAGAGUAAUCCGAAGCUCAGAGUUCCAAACAAGACUUCUGGAACAAACUGCUCUCCUGAGAAAAAUAUUUGGUCUACAGAAAUAAUUUACAUUUUAAAACGUAGCUACACAUCCCCUCUUGCUCACAAAAAAGAUUUGAGGUCAAAAGGACAAACGGUUUUGGCACAGUAUGCUUCAAAGUGGGCCAGCCUGACUUCAGCUGUCCAUCUGCGCUAAUAUUAAAAUUCCUCUAGAGAUUCUGGCUUUCUGGGCUUUCUGAACCACUUUUUCAACUUGCUCUUGAAGCAUGUUUUUUUUCGCUUCCCACACAUAAAAAAACAUAUCACUGCGUUCAGCAACUUUUGCCAGUUCUCACAAUAUCUUUGGUUUUCUGCUAGGUUUCACAACCAAGGCUUAAAUUGACCUUGUUUGAGUGCAUGUUCUGGCCAUUCAACUCAGUUUCCUGAGCUGCCUUUAACAGAAACUUUGACAGGUGUGACUAAUUAGCUUUGAUCUCAGCUGUGACUGAUAAGCUAUGAUGUAAUGCAGGUGCUCAUUACCAUAUCAACCUAGAAGCCCUACACAGACACACAAAUUAAUGCAUCAACACUCCCCUUAAAGGUAGGGUAGGUGAUUUUCCCCAGAAAAGUUUUUUGUCAAAGUUGUUGAAAUAACCUUUACAUCUUGAAAGCAGGUAAUACAUACAGUGCUUUAACAAUCAUUUAAAGUAAAUCUUCUGUAGCUCAAAAAGAUUUCUAGCGGCUCAUCUCAAGGCAUUGGCAGGUUUGCCUGUCACUCAAACACGCUAUAUUUAAACACAAAACUGCACGUGCCCGAAGUUCUACGCAUGACGUAUUCUACUGAACACAGGAAGACAGAGGCAGAGAAAGAGCAAAGUUUACCACUCCAUUUUUUUAAAAGAGGAUGAUAAAGAGCGUUUGGAUAAAGUUGGAGGACAAUGAAAGUCAACACCGGGUCUGCUUUUUGUCAGUGGCUUUGACAGAGAGGGCUGAAUCGCUUUGCCUCCAUCAUCGUAUUUCUACAGGAAAGGUAUGGUAAACGUUUGUUGUCGUUUGUUUUAUUUUUAUGUAAAUUCGUUCUUUUCAUGUAGAGUUCAUACCACAGCCAUCAAUGCACUGGGCUAUCACAGUAUCUAGCUGUCAGCUAAUGACCUGUAUCCGUAUUAGCAUAGCUGUAGCUUGUUUGUUAGCUCAGUGUUAUGUUUUGUUACGGUGCUUUUGCAGAAAUGUACAGUAAACCCUUAUAAACUCUCUCUAGUUAUCUGUGAGCCAAUGUAGUUCAAGGGAAUAUCUAUUUUGUUGCUCUUUACUUGCUGUAAAGGUGAUGUGUUUGAAUGGCUAAAGUUGCUCAUUGUUGUGUUUUCAUAGAGGAGAGGGUGAUGUUUCGGCUCUAUCACUCAGACGGAUGAAGCCGCCAGCCCCCGCUGUUUUGGCCGUUUGUGGGGACGCUCUGACCAUGCAGUCCUGAGGGUUGUCAACCGCUGGGGGGGUGCCACGUAGCUGGAUUAGAAGGCCCUAAGAUCCAGAUCAACAUGUGGAGAUCUUCCUCAACCAACAAGGAGCUUCCAGCUUGUUAGCAGAGGGCUAGGACAGUCCCUACCAAAACAAGAGUUUCUGGAACUGUGCUAUCAUCCAACGUGCACAGCCUGACCUGGCAGUCUACCUCAACCCGUGAUGAUCAGCACUAAAGAAACCUCC